CUGUGUAUGGGUGUCACUUAAGCACUAUAGUGACCCUUUAAUUUAGGAUCAAAUGUACUGCACUGAUCUUCAAAGGAGGACCACUAAUCGCUGGCUCUAUGGUGUAAGCCUGACACUUUGUAUAAACCAUGGAGGCCUUGCUAAC